UACGUAGGGGGCGAGCGUUGUCCGGAUUUAUUGGGCGUAAAGAGCGUGUAGGCGGCCUGACAGUCUGCUGUGAAACUCGAGGCUCAACCUCGAGAUGUCGGCGGAAACCGUCUGGCUAGAGUCCGGAAGAGGAGAGUGGAAUUCCUGGUGUAGCGGUGAAAUGCGCAGAUAUCAGGAAGAACACCUAUGGCGAAGGCAGCUCUCUGGGACGGUACUGACGCUGAGACGCGAAAGCGUGGGGAGCGAACAGG
rnacentral:rRNA from 1 species